rnacentral:rRNA from 1 species
AUGGUGCAGUCUUUGUGGAGCUCCCUCGACGACGACGACGAUGACGAAGAUGAUGAGGAUGGUGUUGAGCUGGCGCCGCAGUCGCCGUUGGCUACCAAGUGCUCCAGCGGAGUGAGCGCUGAACAUGCGGCAGCUACUUGCGUGGGUUGGCAGGAGGUGCGGCCGCGGCAUGCUUCGCAUCGUCUGGCGUCUCGAGCUCCGGCUUCGUCCCCUCGGCCCAUCCCUGCGUGGCUCCAUGGUCGAUGCUGCAGGUGUCUUGUUACUGGACACCGUGCAGCGAAGUGCAGGGAUCCCUUUCGGUGCUCUCACUGCCUGGGGAACGGCCAUCGGGCCCGUGAGUGUCGGAACGCUUGGCGUCCCCUCAGCUUGCUCGAUAACCCUUUUGCUUCGUCAUUGUCCCGCCUCGACACCAUUCAUCAUCUUCAUCCACCUUCAUGUCAAGCCCAAUCUAAUGCCACGCUUCCCUCCAAGGCGAUCCAACGUGACUCCUGGGCGUCGGUUGUUUCUUCUUCUGCUGGUUCUACAGCCUCAGCUCAUGUGGCACUUCAGUCUAUCUUUACUGCGCAAGCCGAGCUGCUACGCUCUGAGCUGCAAGGCAUGGCUUCCUUGCAGAUGGCGAAGGCGAUUCAGCCUCUGAGUGAUGUGGUUGAUUCAAUGCACGGAUGGCUGCUGCGGGCUGGGAGCCUUCUGGAGCGUGCAGAGGUUGCUCUGGGCAGGCUAUCUCCUGCGACGGCUGAGGCGCCACUCCCUCCUAUGUUUUAA